GUAAAUGAAUCUAAUAAAUUAGAAAUUAAUUUCGGCUUAAUUUUAGAUAUUUUUAUAUCCAUUUAUU
rnacentral:tRNA from 1 species